AAUGCGGAAGGCCUAGAAUUUUCCACAGUCGCACUAACUUCUGUUUAGUCUAACAGCAUAGGCUAAAUUUGGUCUCCCCUCGUUGUGGUCCAUUAUUUCCUGGACGCUGAAAUUUUGCUUAUGACGGUCAAAAACUGUUAUAACGUGUGUGCUAGCUUUGACGCUCUCCUCUUUCAUGACUUUCAUACAACAUUCACUGAAUACUUGCCUAGACAUUAACA
rnacentral:lncRNA from 1 species